rnacentral:rRNA from 1 species
UGAAUACGAGACGCUAAGGCGUCGAAGUAGUGUAUGUCAUACUUCCAAGAAAAGCUUGCACUGUCAUAGAUAAAAAACGCCUGUACCAUAACCGACACAGGUGGGUAGGUAGAGUAUACUAAGGGGCGCGAGAUAACUCUCUCUAAGGAACUCGGCAAAAUAACUCCGUAACUUCGGGAGAAGGAGUGCCUUAUUCGUAAGGUUGCAAUAACAAGAUCCAAGCAACUGUUUAUCAAAAACACAGGUCUCCGCUAAGUCGUAAGACGAUGUAUGGGGGCUGACGCCUGCCCAGUGCCAGAAGGUUAAAGAAGUUGGUUAGCAAUUGCGAAGCUGAUAACUGAAGCCCUGGUGAACGGCGGCCGUAACAAUAACGGUCCUAAGGUAGCGAAAUUCCUUGUCGGGUAAGUUCCGACCCGCACGAAAGGCGUAAUGAUUUGGAUACUGUCUCGGAGAGGGGCUCGGUGAAAUAGACUUGUCUGUGAAGAUGCGGACUACCUGCACCAGGACAGAAAGACCCUAUGAAGCUUUACUGUAACUUGAAAUUGAAAUUGGACUUUAUUCGCGCAGCAUAGGUGGGAGGCGUUGAUUAUAAUCUUGCGGGAUUAUUGGAGCCAUCAGUGAGAUACCACUCUUGUAAUGUUAGAUUUCUAACUUUGAAUCAUUAUCUGGUCAAAGAACAGUUUCAGGCGGGCAGUUUGACUGGGGCGGUCGCCUCCUAAACGGUAACGGAGGCGUACAAAGGUUUCCUCUGAACGGUUAGAAAUCGUAUCUAGAGUGUAAAGGCAUAAGGAAGCUUGACUGUGAGACCUACAAGUCGAGCAGGGACGAAAGUCGGUCUUAGUGAUCUGACGGUACUGAGUGGAAAGGCCGUCACUCAACGGAUAAAAGUUACUCUAGGAUAACAGGCUGAUCUCCCCCAAGAGUUCACAUCGACGGGGAGGUUUGGCACCUCGAUGUCGGCUCAUCGCAUCCUGGGGCGGUAGUACGUCCCAAGGGUUGGGCUGUUCGCCCAUGAAAGCGGUACGCGAGCUGGGUUCAGAACGUCGUGAGACAGUUCGGUCCAUAUCCGGUGUAGGCGUUAGAAUAUUGAGAGGAGCCUUCUUUAGUACGAGAGGACCGAGAAGGACAUACCUCUGGUGUACCAGUUAUCGUGCCAACGGUAAACGCUGGGUAGCUAUGUAUGGAGUGGAUAACCGCUGAAAGCAUCUAAGUGGGAAGCCCACCUCAAGAUAAGUAUUCUC